GUACUGAUGAAGAGUCCCGAACUAGGACGAAACUUACUGUCCAGUAC
rnacentral:hammerhead_ribozyme from 1 species